rnacentral:rRNA from 1 species
CAAUAGCGUAUAUUUAAGUUGUUGCAGUUAAAAAGCUCGUAGUUGGAUUUCGGGUGGGACGCAGCGGUCUCGCAUUGCGUUUGUACUGCUGCAGCCCUCCUUCUUGCCGGGGGCGGCCUCUCGGACUUCACUGUCUGGGGGUCAGAAUCGGCGAUGUUACUUUGAGUAAAUUAGAGUGUUCAAAGCAAGCUUACGCUCUGAAUAUAAUAGCAUGGGAUAACACGACAGGACUCUGGCCUAUCGUGUUGGUCUAUAGGACCAGAGUAAUGAUUAAGAGGGACAGUCGGGGGCAUUCGUAUUCCGUUGUCAGAGGUGAAAUUCUUGGAUUUACGGAAGACGAACAUCUGCUAAAGCAUUUGCCAAGGAUGUUUUCAUUGA